CCUGCCGGAAAUGUUGUGAGUGAUGAACAUCCACUAACUGUCAGUUCUUCAAGAAGAGGCAUAGGAUUGACAUCAUUAUCAAUACACAUGAUUCCCUCAGGCAAACUCAGCAGAUUUCUACAAUCUCGAAUGGCCAAGGUAACUUGCCCUUUGGAAAUGAUUUGAGAGAAGGGCAUGACUGAAUUUCUAACUCUUCAAGAAGACACUGGUUGCUUUUGUUAGCAUGCAUCAACACUGUGACCCCUAAAGGUAGAGACAUGAG
rnacentral:misc_RNA from 1 species